rnacentral:tRNA from 1 species
AGUGGUGUAGCUCAGUGAUAGAGGGCUUGCCAGGCAUGUGCAAAAGCCUGGGUUCAGUUCCCAGCACAACCA